GACGAACGCUGGCGGCGUGCUUAACACAUGCAAGUCGAACGGAAAGGCCCUGCUUUUGUGGGGUGCUCGAGUGGCGAACGGGUGAGUAACACGUGAGUAACCUGCCCUUGACUUUGGGAUAACUUCAGGAAACUGGGGCUAAUACCGGAUAGGAGCUCCUGCUGCAUGGUGGGGGUUGGAAAGUUUCGGCGGUUGGGGAUGGACUCGCGGCUUAUCAGCUUGUUGGUGUGGUAGUGGCUUACCAAGGCUUUGACGGGUAGCCGGCCUGAGAGGGUGACCGGCCACAUUGGGACUGAGAUACGGCCCAGACUCCUACGGGAGGCAGCAGUGGGGAAUAUUGCACAAUGGGCGGAAGCCUGAUGCAGAAACGCCGCGUGCGGGAUGACGGCCUUCGGGUUGUAAACCGCUUUCGCCUGUGACGAAGCGUGAGUGACGGUAAUGGGUAAAGAAGCACCGGCUAACUACGUG
rnacentral:rRNA from 1 species